rnacentral:rRNA from 1 species
GAGGAAUAUUGGUCAAUGGACGCAAGUCUGAACCAGCCAUGCCGCGUGCAGGAUGACGGCUCUAAUGAGUUGUAAACUGCUUUUGUACGAGGGUAAACCCCGAUACGUGUAUCGGGUUGAAAGUAUCGUACGAAUAAGGAUCGGCUAACUCC